rnacentral:rRNA from 2 species
UGGAUCCAGACUUUGAUUAUGGCUCAGGAUGAACGCUAGCUACAGGCUUAACACAUGCAAGUCGAGGGGAAACGAUAGAGAAAGCUUGCUUUUUCUAGGCGUCGACCGGCGCACGGGUGAGUAACGCGUAUCCAACCUGCCCACCGCUUGGGAAUAACCUUGCGAAAGUAAGACUAAUACCCAAUGAUAUCUCUAGAAGACAUCUGAAGGAGAUUAAAGAUUUAUCGGUGAUGGAUGGGGAUGCGUCUGAUUAGCUUGUUGGCGGGGUAACGGCCCACCAAGGCGACGAUCAGUAGGGGUUCUGAGAGGAAGGUCCCCCACAUUGGAACUGAGACACGGUCCAAACUCCUACGGGAGGCAGCAGUGAGGAAUAUUGGUCAAUGGGCGAGAGCCUGAACCAGCCAAGUAGCGUGCAGGAUGACGGCCCUAUGGGUUGUAAACUGCUUUUAUAAGGGAAUAAGGUGAGCCUCGUGAGGCUUUUUGCAUGUACCUUAUGAAUAAGGACCGGCUAAUUCCGUGCCAGCAGCCGCGGUAAUACGGAAGGUCCGGGCGUUAUCCGGAUUUAUUGGGUUUAAAGGGAGCGUAGGCCGGAGAUUAAGCGUGUUGUGAAAUGUAGAUGCUCAACAUCUGCACUGCAGCGCGAACUGGUUUCCUUGAGCACGCACAAAGUGGGCGGAAUUCGUGGUGUAGCGGUGAAAUGCUUAGAUAUCACGAAGAACUCCGAUUGCGAAGGCAGCUCACUGGAGCGCAACUGACGCUGAAGCUCGAAAGUGCGGGUAUCGAACAGGAUUAGAUACCCUGGUAGUCCGCACGGUAAACGAUGGAUGCCCGCUGUUGGUCUGAAUAGGUCAGCGGCCAAGCGAAAGCAUUAAGCAUCCCACCUGGGGAGUACGCCGGCAACGGUGCAACUCAAAGGAAUUGACGGA